rnacentral:tRNA from 7 species
GCGGGAGUAGUUCAGCGGUAGAACACCACCUUGCCAAGGUGGGGGUCGCGAGUUCGAAUCUCGUCUUCCGCUCCA